AUUAAAUGUUCAUAUAGUACCAGGAGAGAAGACGAAGAGACAAAAUAAACUAGCAAAAAUUGUUUCGUCUUCUCUCCUGGUGCUAUAUGAACAUUUAAUG
rnacentral:pre_miRNA from 1 species